rnacentral:rRNA from 1 species
GACGAACCGUGCGAACGUUGUUCGGAAUCACUGGGCUUAAAGGGCGCGUAGGCGGCAUAUCAAGUCCGGGGUGAAAGCCCCCAGCUUAACUGGGGAAGUGCCUUGGAUACUGGUGUGCUCGAGGGAGGUAGGGGUCGAGGGAACUUCUGGUGGAGCGGUGAAAUGCGUUGAUAUCAGAAGGAACGCCGGUGGCGAAAGCGCUCGACUGGACCUUUUCUGACGCUGAGGCGCGAAAGCUAGGGGAGCAAACGGG